AUGGACUUAGUCCUGAUAGUAUUUUGCAAAUUAUGUUGUAGAUCAAUAGUUGCGUUGUUGCUUCCCUAUGUUUUUAUAUGUCUGAAAUUGGUAUUUCAGACUCAUGUCCGUGUCAAGAGGUAUGAGACUUCUGACAAGUACUUUGCCUAA
rnacentral:rRNA from 1 species